AUGAAUUUGCUUCAAGGUCCUGUUGGUGUUUCCUGGGUUGAAAAUGUGGCCAUAUCCUAAUCUUACAGGAGACAAUGUCAAGGAAAACUCCUAGAGAUACCCCAUCUAUGUUUCAUACUUUUAAAAGCACCCCUAUAACCAACACCUCUAAAGACAUCUCUCGUAGGGUGUACAUGAAGCUGGGAUGAAAGAGGCAGACAUGAAGACAAUGGGACAACAUAAAAACAAUGAGCUAUGAAGAACCAACACUGUGAAGCAUGUGACACAGGUCCCUCCUAAAGGCCUAUGUGGGAGAGGUACGUUCAUUUCGUACAUGCUAACUGGAGCCCCACAGUGGCCCAUAGGUGUCUACUGGGGAUGUCUACUGGGGUCCUGUCACAUUAGACACGGAGUCAGGGGUACUGUAUUGGAGCACUAGUUUCUAGCCUGUGGUUCUGAAAUGUCUCAUUCUAGGGCCACAACUGCUAAUCAAUGGUGAUCUAGUAGAAUUUAACACCUCAAAGCAAAAAUUAGAGGUCCUCAAUGGUUCUUCACAAAUGAAGUAUAUCACAUUCAAAGCAGGACCUGAGCUACUCUGUAUUGGGGGAAGUCUGCAGACCAAGGCAGGGUGCAAGCAUGGACGCUGCUCUUAAACUCGGUGCCAUUAGGUAGAAUUAUGUUAGAAGCCUCAGCUGAUCUUUCCACCAGCUCUUGUUAUUGCUCUCACAUAGCAGCAGCCAGAGGACUAACUUCCCACGAGUUCCAGCUGUUCACCUGCCACCCAGAGAAGCCUUACACCAGGGACAUGGUGAAUUUCAGAUCACUCAAGCUGCCUCCUACUGAAAGCCUCAGCCUUUUCCUUGGCUCUCCUUCCUCAGGGUUCACAGUGGUGGAAAGUAAGAAGAACAUGUUUCUGGAGUUAAACCAUCUUACAUCAUCAGGACAGAAUUUCCUCUAUGUGGUAUGUGGGUUUGCCACUUUAAAGACUAUCUAAACCAGUCAGGUUGAUCCUUAGAGCUGAGGCAGGACUCUUGGCAGGGUAGGUGCCCGUUUCGUCGAUGAAGUCUUAAAUACCAAAUACUAGUUUUCCCUUGCUGUAAACAAAACAAAACAAAACAAAACACCAUGACCAAGGCAACUUAUACAAGACAGAGAUUAUUUGGGCUUAUGGUUCCAGAGGGUUAGAUUCCAUCAUGGUGGGAAGCAGGGCAGUGGGAACGGGGUGCUGAGAGAACAGAGCCUUUAUUCUAAGCACAAGACAGAGAGAGGACACUGGAAGUGUCAUGACCAUGAGGCUUUUAAUCUCAGCACCCAU
rnacentral:lncRNA from 1 species